ACUUCAAAUUUCAUAAAAUCCUCUCUCCUUCCUUCCAUCUGCUUCUGGAUCAAUUUGCCGAGAGAUAAUCCGUCUUUAUGUCCUAUGAGCACAGAUUUCAAGAAUCUCAACUCUAAGGAUUUUGAUUUUUAUGUAAUUGGAUGAGACGGAUGCUUGAACCUCGAAUUUCUUUUCUUGUUGAUUAUGAUUUGCCAAGAGAUAAUUCAUGAAGAAUGAAAAGCUCGAAUCCGUCGUUAUGUCCUCUGAGCACAGAUUUCAAGAAUCUCAACUCUCAGAUGCGGCUUCCAAGCUUUCUAGUCUUGCUUCCGUGCACAUUUCUUUUGUGCGCGAUCGCUGCAGCGCUGAGCUUCCUUAUGUCAGGGUAGGAUCGCCAG